rnacentral:misc_RNA from 1 species
UACGGAGGGUGCAAGCGUUGUUCGGAAUUACUGGGCGUAAAGCGCACGUAGGCGGGUUCGUAAGUCAGAUGUGAAAGCCCCGGGCUUAACCUGGGAAUUGCAUUUGAAACUGCGAAUCUUGAAUGCCUGAGAGGUUGGGGGAAUUCCUGGUGUAGAAGUGAAAUUCGUAGAUAUCAGGAGGAACACCUGAGGCGAAGGCGCCUGACUGGCAGUGCAUUGACGCUGAGGUGCGAAAGUGUGGGGAGCAAACAGG